UACAGAGGUCCCAAGCGUUGUCCGGAAUUAUUGGGCGUAAAGAGCUCGUAGGCGGCUUGUCACGUCGGAUGUGAAAGCCCGAGGCUUAACCUCGGGUCUGCAUUCGAUACGGGCUAGCUAGAGUGUGGUAGGGGAGAUCGGAAUUCCUGGUGUAGCGGUGAAAUGCGCAGAUAUCUGGAGGAACACCGGUGGCGAAGGCGGCAUCCUGGACCAAUUCUGACACUGAGGAGCGAAAGCCAGGGGAGCAAACGGG
rnacentral:rRNA from 1 species